UACGAAGGGUGCAAGCGUUAUUCGGAAUUACUGGGCGUAAAGGGUGCGUAGGCGGUUCGUUAAGUCUGUCGUGAAAUCCCCGGGCUCAACCUGGGAAUGGCGAUGGAUACUGACGAGCUAGAGUGUGGCAGAGGAUGGUGGAAUUCCCGGUGUAGCGGUGAAAUGCGUAGAGAUCGGGAGGAACAUCAGUGGCGAAGGCGGCCAUCUGGGACAACACUGACGCUGAAGCACGAAAGCGUGGGGAGCAAACAGG
rnacentral:rRNA from 1 species